rnacentral:rRNA from 1 species
UGAGUUUGAUUAUGGCUCAGGACGAACGCUGGCGGCGUGCUUCAUACAUGCAAGUCAAGGAGAACGCUCUCUUCGGAGUGCUAUUAAACUGGCGAACGGGUGAGUAACGCGUGGGCAACCUGCCCUAGAGAUUGGGAUAACUUCGGGAAACUGGAGCUAAUACCGAAUAAUGCAGCGGAUCCUUCGGGAUACAGUUGUUAAAGCGGGCUUCGGCUCGUGCUUUAGGAUGGGCCUGCGUCCGAUUAGCUUGUUGGUAAGGUAAAGGCUUACCAAGGCAAUGAUCGGUAGCUGGUCUGAGAGGAUGAUCAGCCACACUGGGAUUGAGAUACGGCCCAGNCCACCACGGUGGGCAGCAGUAAGGAAUUUUGCGCAAUGGGGGAAACCCUGACGCAGCAACGCCGCGUGACCGAUGAAGCU